rnacentral:rRNA from 1 species
CCUACGGGUGGCAGCAGUGGGGAAUAUUGCACAAUGGGGGAAACCCUGAUGCAGCGAAGCCGCGUGAGUGAAGAAGUACUUAGUUGUGUAAAGCUCUAUCAGCAGGGAAGAAAAUGACGGUACGUGAGUAAGAAGCCCCGUCUAACUACGUGCCAGCAGCCGCGGUAAUACGGAGGGGGCAAGCGUUAUCCGGAUUUACUGGGUGUAAAGGGAGCGUAGACGGCAUUGCAAGUCUGGAGUGAAAGGCGGGGGCUCAACCCCCGGACUGCUCUGGAAACUGUACGGCUGGAGUGCAGGAGAGGUAAGCGGAAUUCCUAGUGUAGCGGUGAAAUGCGUAGAUAUUAGGAGGAACACCAGUGGCGAAGGCGGCUUACUGGACUGUAACUGACGUUGAUGCUCGAAAGCGUGGGGAGCAAACAGGAUUAGAUACCCGUGUAGUC